rnacentral:lncRNA from 1 species
AUGCAAAUCAAUUUGGAGUCAAUGAGGGAAGGGGGUAGGGAACACACUUACUGUGGAAAACUAGCCUUUCUUCACACUCACCUUUCUGCACCUCUGCUCCCUUUCUCAUCCUUUCCUCAUCUCCCCUCUCAUCCUUUCCUCAUCUCCCCUCUCAUCCUUUCCUCAUCUCCCCUCUCAUCCUUUCCUGCUCUCCCCUUCUCUUCCCUCGUUCUCUCCCCUUCUCUUCCCUCAUUCUCUCCCCUUCUCUUCCCUCGUUCUCUCCCUCUCUCCUUCUCUUCCCUAAUUCUCUCCCCUUCUUUUCCCCCUUUCUCUCCCUCUCCCCUUCUCUUCCCUCGUUCUCUCCCCUUCUCUUUCCUCGUUCUCUUCCUCUCCUCCUCUCCCCUUCUCUUCCCUCGGUCUCUCCCCUUCUCUUCCCUCGUUCUCUCCCUCUCUCCUCCUCUCCCCUUCUCUUCCCUCGUUCUCUCCCUCUCUCCUCUCCCCUUCUCUUCCCUCGUUCUCUCCCUCUCUCCUCCUCUCCCCUUCUCUUCCCUCGUUCUCUCCCUCUCUCCUCCUCUCCCCUUCUCUUCCCUCGUUCUCUCCCCUUCUCUUCCCUCGUUCUCUCCCCUCCUCUCCCCUUCUCUUCCCUUGUUCUCUCCCCUUCUCUUCCCUUGUUCUCUUCUUCUCUCCUCCUCUCCCCUUCUCUUCCCUCGUUCUCUCCUCCUCUCCCCUUCUCUUCCCUCGUUCUCUCCUUCUCUCCCCUUCUUUUCCCCCUUUCUCUCCCUCUCCCCUUCUCUUCCCUCGUUCUCUCCCCUUCUCUUCCCUCGUUCUCUUCCUCUCCUCCUCUCCCCUUCUCUUCCCUCGGUCUCUCCCCUUCUCUUCCCUCGUUCUCUCCUCCUCUCCCCUUCUCUUCCCUCGUUCUCUCCCUCUCUCCUCUCCCCUUCUCUUCCCUCGUUCUCUCCCUCUCUCCUCCUCUCCCCUUCUCUUCCCUCGUUCUCUCCCUCUCUCCUCCUCUCCCCUUCUCUUCCCUCGUUCUCUCCCCUUCUCUUCCCUCGUUCUCUCCCCUCCUCUCCCCUUCUCUUCCCUUGUUCUCUCCCCUUCUCUUCCCUUGUUCUCUUCUUCUCUCCUCCUCUCCCCUUCUCUUCCCUCGUUCUCUCCUCCUCUCCCCUUCUCUUCCCUCGUUCUCUCCUCCUCUCCCCUUCUCUUUCCCCCUUCCCUCAUUCUCUCUCCUCUUCCCAGUCCUUAGUCAGCGCCACAUAA